GCGCAGCAGUUGCGAAAACUCCGCAAUGCACGAAAGUGUGACGGGGCUACCCCGAGUGCCGUCCGCUGAGGGCGGCUUUUCCCUGGUGUAAGGAGCCGGGGGAAUAAGGAGAGGGCAAGUCUGGUGUCAGCCGCCGCGGUAAUACCAGCUCUCCGAGUGGUAGGGAUGUUUAUUGGGCUUGAAGCGUCCGUAGCUGGCCUGACAAGUCUUCCGUUAAAUCCAACGAUUCAAUCGUUGGACUGCGGGAGAUACUGUUGGGCUAGGGGGCGGAAGAGGCCGACGGUAUUCUCGGGGUAGGGGUAAAAUCCUAUAAUCCCGGGAAGACCACCAGUGGCGAAGGCGGUCGGCUAGAACGCGCUCGACGGUGAGGGACGAAAGCUGGGGGAGCGAACCGGAUUAGAUACCCGUGUAGUCC
rnacentral:rRNA from 1 species